rnacentral:lncRNA from 1 species
GUGGCUUCACAAUCACAUUUUUGAGCUCCCUCAGCACUCAUGGAUAAUCUACCUCAGGGUACUUGAUCUGACACAUGCCCGAUUUGUUUAAGUAUUUCCUGAAUUGAUCCUCUUCCACCAAGUAUGUGUUCUCCUUGCCACAGCUUUUCAACCUGGUCUCUGGAAUGUGUCAUGCCUGAAGGUCAGUCUUGUUGAUGAAGACUGAGGAAAAGGUAAUAUUCAGUCUCAUAGUAUCUGUCCAUUAUGUUUAAUGCUAUUUUUUUCUAGCUGAAAAUAAAUACUACCAUAAUAAACUAUAAAAACCCAUCACUGAAGAAGAAAACUCAUACACUCUGUUAUGGAUACACAGGGGGCAAGUUCUUAUUGUGUUGCACUGCAAUUGCAAGCACUCAGCAUUAAAAAAAAAGAAGCAAACUCAACUGGUUAGGUGCUGCAUGAGAUCCUUUUGAAUUCAGUGGAGGGAAGAGAUAUGACCUCCAGACUGCAUGCUUCAAACGAAGCUGCCCAGACCUGCUGUAAAAACAGAGAGAUAGCUGCACUCCUCGACAUAGAUGCAGACAGGAGUCCAGAUCUGCACUGUGUAAUAACCAUUUAGUAUUGCUCAGUUCAACAGUGUUCAUUCCAUUUUGCAGGAGUGGUACCCAAGACACAACAAGAGGCUUCCCUUGUCUUCCACUACAGCAAGGAAAAAAAGGAAGAAACUUACAUUCAGACAACAUUCAACUCAAAGCACAGGUCUGUGAACUGAAGUAUCUCUGUUCAAUCUGCAUAUAGCGAGCCUACACUAUUCCUGUGCCCUCAAAAAGACAAACAAGCUGUGUCUUCUACACACUUCUGCCCCAGUUACACUGAAUUUGUCUCAAGCAGCUUCCUAUAGCAGCUCAAUAGCUCCAGCAACAUCUUGGCUUCUUCCCUUUCUCCGUGACUGCUGCCUCCUCUAGUCAAAUUCAGCUGUGGC